UACGGGGGGGGUAAGCGUUGUUCGGAAUUAUUGGGCGUAAAGCGCGUGUAGGCGGUUUGUUAAGUCUGGUGUGAAAGCCCUGGGCUCAACCUGGGAAGUGCAUUGGAUACUGGCAAACUUGAGUACGGGAGAGGAUAGUGGAAUUUCGAGUGUAGGGGUGAAAUCCGUAGAUAUUCGAAGGAACACCGGUGGCGAAGGCGGCUAUCUGGACCGAUACUGACGCUGAGACGCGAAAGCGUGGGGAGCAAACAGG
rnacentral:rRNA from 1 species